rnacentral:lncRNA from 7 species
GCCAGGAGAGCACGGCAGCCAGAGGAGAUGUGCCGUGGGCAGCGCUGCGGGGGCCUCGCAUCCCUCCUGCUGCUGCUGGUGGUGCUGCUGGGGCAAAACCUGGGUCUUCUCAUCAAAAUCCCGCAGGAUGCGGUCAGUGGUACCGUGGGGCAGUCCGUGCUCCUGCCCGUCUCCUACAGAGCCAACAGCUCCCUUCUCUUCCCAGUGUCAAUUCUGUGGAAGUUUAGGAACAGCUCACGAGUGAUCGUCACCUGCACGGUGUGGAACUGCUCCCUGGAUGCUUGGGGAACUCCCAAGGAAUGCUUUGCAAUAUGUUUCCCUCAUGUCACACACCGGGGCCGUGCUGCGGUCUUCCCCGAGAACGCAUCCCUGCUGUUGCGGGACCUGCAGCUCAAUGACAGCGGGCUGUACAGCGUCACCUUCCAAGAGCAAAACCUAAGCAGGCAGAUCACCCUGGCCGUGCACAAGCAGCAUGGUUCCACUGAGCAUCCUGAUGAAGAGCAAAUAGCAGGACGUACAGCUGCACGCAUCCCUUGCUACAGCCUCGGAGCCUGCUACUGCUUCAUCCUGCUGCUCCUGCAGCUGCUCUUCCACCUGCUGUGCAUGCGGGGUGGCUGCCAGCAGCAGAGACGACCCAGAGAAGCAUGAGGCUGCUGCUGGGGAGAGGAGUGCCGGCAAGUGGGAGCAGACAGAGCUGGUGCCCCAGCAGUGCCCAGGCACAAUGAGUGUGCUCAGCGGUGCCUCGGGCUGUUUUCCCUGACACCAGUCCCUGUGCUGGAGAAACCCAGGCAUCCACAAGCACCUGUCCCUGCCUGCAGUGCACAAACGCUUCCCCACUCACAUCUCCCCACCAUUAACUAACCCCUCCCGUGGGCAAAUAAACAUCCCUUCCUCC